rnacentral:lncRNA from 1 species
UAUCUAGCAUAGUGGUCCAUGAUCCAUCACUGUGCUCCCAAGGUGCUCCUGCAAGACAGAUUUCAGCCACCGUUCCCUUUGUAUAGGUACCUUUACCUGUGAAUCUGAAGAGAAUGCUGUGUGGACUGUGAAUUCCUGUCAGAAGACACGGAACUACUAGAAUAUCAGCAAGAAAACUAAACAUCAUGCAGGACAGACCUGUAUCCACC